AAGCGCGACGCAGCAGUCGCUGGCGACGCUCGAUUCGGCAUUCAGCUCGGACACACCAGCUCUCGGUUCGUUGUGGACGCUAAGUUAAUAUAUCGCAGUUAAUAGCAAAGGCAGCGGCAGUGGCAGUGGCAGCGGCAGCGGCAGUGACGCAGGCAGCGACAGCGACAGCGCUAGCCAACAAUAAAAGCGAAAGGAAGAGCAACAACAAAUGGUAGCUGCUCCUGUGUGUGAGAGGGCACUUUAUUUGUUGUUGCAUUUGCCAUUUACCAUUGUUGUUGUUGUUGUUGUUGUUGCCAUUUUACGCUAGCUACUGCUGCUGCUGUUGGUGCUGCUGCUGCGUUCGCCGCGCUUUACAUUCUCGCUCCAUUCGCUUCAUUCCGUUCCACUCGCCAUUUUGUCGGCAACGUGCCCUGUGGAAGGUGGACGCGAAUUUUUUGUGUGUGUGUGUUUUGUGCUUUUUGUUUUGGUUUCAUGUGUGUGCGUGUGCCUGUGUGUGUAAAUUUGUGAGUGUGUGUGUGAUUUUUUUUUCUGCUGUUUUUGUUGUUGCCAUCAUUGCUUUAAGUAUUUUUAGUGUUCGCGUGCGAAAUUCGGUGUCAAAGUGAAACAUUCUACGUGAGAUGCGAAAGCAAAAGCAUCAGAGCAUUAGCAAUAACUUUUCUUAAGUGCCAAACAAACAGCAAGUGAAAAAUAUUAUAAAAAAAAAAAAAAACAAAAACAAAAUACGGCAAAAGCAAUUACAAAUCUCAAACCAAAAAUUACAACAAUUAAAAAUCAAUAUAAAUAAGUUACAAAGUAUAUGAGAAGCUACAUAAAGCUGGCCCAAAUAUUGAGUUGAGUAACUCUACUCGCAAAGCAGCAACAGCAACAACAACAACAGCUGAAGGGCCAGCCCACGUAGGAGCUGUGCAGCGCCAGUGAAAGUGGAAGAGGAAGAAGAAGUGGAAGUGGAAGCGACAGUAGCAGUGGCAG